CACACUGCGAGGUCACAGGCGCCUGCGCCAGCCACCCAGCCACGCAGGGAAAGGAACGAUCACCAACAGGGUGCAAUCAAUGACACCCGGGUCAGCAGCAAGCCGCUAAGAACACAGUGUGCCAUUUGUUCUGUCUGUGAGGCUGAGAUGCUGACAGUUCCAACCAACCUCUGCCUCCUCAUUCUUACUUCCUCUCUAAACCCUCUCUGGACCUGAGGAAGAGGGGGCCCUGGGAAGAGCCCCGGCUCACACAUCUGGGUGUUGCAGCCAGCAGAGAGCCCACGCCAUCAAGAGGACAUACUCACAAGCAACCACACAGCAAGACCUGCAGCGGAGCGUGCAGCACUUUCACCUUCUGCUCACAGAAAAGGAAAAAAAAAAAAACAGAGAAAGCAGCCCAUGAGGGACUCAGAAGGGCAGAGCGCACCCUAUGCCUACCCUACCAGAAGAAGCUAGAGGCUGGGACCUGCCGCCCCGAGGAGAAAGGUGUUCUCCUGGCUCUCUGCAGACAAGAUGACCUGAUAGAAAUCGGAAGAACAUGUGUGGGUCCCCUGGGCUGUCAGCACUCACAGAGAGCUUGAGAAGAUAUGGUACCUCUCACUUGAAAGCUGAAGUGACCAAGGCCUCGACUAGAUGCCCUGGAUGAGUUCCCUAAACAACAGAAGUUUCUAGACAUUAGGAAGUAGGUGCAAGGAAGCUGCCUGGCAGGUGACACCAGCUCCAAGGACUGAUGCAGGGGGAAGCCCCCUCCUGCAGCCUGGCCCUUCGCUCUACCUUCUUCAUCCCAGUGGAUGGUAUCUCAGAAGUGAUCCUGAGCAGAGGCCAAGAAAGCCAGCCCUGGAUCCACACUGCUUCAGCGGACUCCCAAAGCUGUAGGUUUAUGUUUAGGUUUAUUGAGAAUGGUCCUUAACUCUUCUAAACCUCAGUUUUCCUCAUGUGGAGAAUGGGGAUAAUUCUGACACCUACUUCAUGGAACCUAAUGAGAAUUAAAUGUGCUAACGGCCAAGUUCUGAGA